rnacentral:rRNA from 1 species
AACGAACGCUGGCGGCAGGCUUAACACAUGCAAGUCGAACGCCCCGCAAGGGGAGUGGCAGACGGGUGAGUAACGCGUGGGAAUCUACCCUGAACUGCGGGAUAGCUCCGGGAAACUGGAAUUAAUACCGCAUGUGCCCUGAGGGGCAAAGAUUUAUCGGUUCAGGAUGAGCCCGCGUCCGAUUAGCUAGUUGGUGGGGUAAAGGCCUACCAAGGCGACGAUCGGUAGCUGGUCUAAGAGGAUGAUCAGCCACAUUGGGACUGAGACACGGCCCAAACUCCUACGGGAGGCAGCAGUGGGGAAUAUUGGACAAUGGGCGCAAGCCUGAUCCAGCCAUGCCGCGUGAGUGAUGAAGGCCCUAGGGUUGUAAAGCUCUUUCACCGGGGACGAUAAUGACGGUACCCGGAGAAGAAGCCCGGCUAACUUCGUG